rnacentral:rRNA from 1 species
AGUAAGAAGUACGAGGACGCUUCCCUUUCGGGAAGCGAGCGUACACAGGUGCUGCAUGGCUGUCGUCGGCUCGUGUCGUGAGAUGUUGGGUUAAGUCCCGUAACGAGCGCAACCCUUGUCCUUAGUUACCAGCACGUUAUGGUGGGCACUCUAAGGAGACUGCCGGUGACAAACCGGAGGAAGGUGGGGAUGACGUCAAGUCAUCAUGGCCCUUAUGUCCAGGGCGACACACGUGCUACAAUGGCCGGCACAGCGGGAAGCGAGGCAGUGAUGCCAAGCGGAUCCCUUAAAGCCGGUCUCAGUUCGGAUUGAAGUCUGCAACUCGACUUCAUGAAGCUGGAAUCGCUAGUAAUCGCAGAUCAGCCAAGCUGCGGUGAAUACGUUCCCGGGCCUU